rnacentral:lncRNA from 1 species
CUCCGCUCCGGGUCCCGAUCACGGCGCUGACGGCACCGCGCAGCGCCCCGCAGUGCCCCAUAGCGCCCCACGGCAACGCCAGCGCCAGCCGGAGCUGCUCGGUGGGAGCACGGCUGCCGGCUCUGUGUCCCCGCGUCCCCUUCCUCAUCUAACCGGCCCUUGGCACGGCAGCACUGCGAAGCCCUCCCCUCUGCGGUGCUGCUUCCCCUCACCCCACACUGCCUCGGCUCCACCUUCCCUGCGGGGUGUUGGUCGUGGUCAUGGUUAUGGUUAUGACCAGGAUGGCAGUGAUGACGAUAAUGGGGACGGUGGUGAUGAUGGUGAUGAUUCUGUAGUGAUAAUGAUGGUGACGAUGGUGAUGGCGGUCAUGGUGAUGGUGAUGACGACGACGGUGGUGAUGAUUCUGUAGUGAUAAUGAUGGUAUUAAUGAUGAUGGCAUUGAUUAUAAUGAUGGUGACAGUGGUGGUGAUGAAGGUGAUGAUUCUAUAGUGAUGAUAAUGGUGAUGGUGGUUAUGAUGAUAAUGAUGGUGAUGAUGAUGACGAUGAUGGCAAUGGUGAUGAUGAUGGUGACAAUGAUGGUGAUGAUGUUGGCCAUUCUACAGCGUUGAUGACGAUGAUGGGGAUUACGAUGAUGAUUCUGUAGUAGCAGUGAUGGUGAUGGAGAUGACGAUGAUGAUUCUAUAGUGACAAUGAUAACGAUGGUGACGAUGAUAUGGUGAUGACGAUGAUGAUGAUAAUGAUGGAGGCGAUUAUGAUGGUGGUGGUGGUGAUUCUAUAGUGCCAAUAAUGGUGACAGUGAUGGUGGCGAUGAUUCUGUGGUGACAACGAUAGUGAUGGUGACAAUGAUGGUGAUAAUGAUAAUGGUGGUGGUGAUGCUAUAGGACAAUGAAGAAGAAAGUGAUGAUGACGAUGAUUAUGGUGAUAAUGAUGGUGAUGAUGAUUCUAUAGUGACAAUGGUGAUAGUUAUGAUGGUGAUGGUGACAGUGAUGGUGACAAUGAUGUGGUGAUGUGGUGAUGAUGACAAUGAUUCUUUAGGAACAAUGAUGGUGAUAGUGAUGAUGUGGCAGUGAUGGUGAUGGUGAUGAUGACAACAAUGAUGGUGAUGAUGAUGGCGAUGUUGAUUCCAUAGUGACAAUGAUGAUGGUGAUGUUGGUGAUGAUGAUGGUAAUGGUUGUAUAGUGACAGUGGUGAUGGUUAUGAUGGUGAUGAUGAUAAUGAUGACAUUGAUGGUGGUGAUGGUGAUGAUUCUACAAUAGCAGUGAUGGUGAUGAUGACGAUGGUGAUUCUGUAGUGAAAAUGAUGGUGGUGAUGGUGAUGACGAUGAUUCUAUAGUGACAGUGAUGAUGAUAAUGACGGUGAUGAUGAUUCUAUAGUGACAGUGGUGAUGAUGGUGAUGGUGACAAUGACAGAACGUUGUCUCACAGCAUGAAGCUCACAUCGCCUACCUCCAGCACCGGCAAGAUGCUUACACUGCCAGGGGGGGGG